CGGGACACGUGGUAUCCUGUCUGAAUAUGGGGGGACCAUCCUCCAAGGCUAAAUACUCCUGACUGACCGAUAGUGAACCAGUACCGUGAGGGAAAGGCGAAAAGAACCCCGGCGAGGGGAGUGAAAAAGAACCUGAAACCGUGUACGUACAAGCAGUGGGAGCACAGAGCAAUCUGUGUGACUGCGUACCUUUUGUAUAAUGGGUCAGCGACUUAUAUUCUGUAGCAAGGUUAACCGAAUAGGGGAGCCGAAGGGAAACCGAGUCUUAACUGGGCGUUAAGUUGCAGGGUAUAGACCCGAAACCCGGUGAUCUAGCCAUGGGCAGGUUGAAGGUUGGGUAACACUAACUGGAGGACCGAACCGACUAAUGUUGAAAAAUUAGCGGAUGACUUGUGGCUGGGGGUGAAAGGCCAAUCAAACCGGGAGAUAGCUGGUUCUCCCCGAAAGCUAUUUAGGUAGCGCCUCGUGAAUUCAUCUCCGGGGGUAGAGCACUGUUUCGGCAAGGGGGUCAUCCCGACUUACCAACCCGAUGCAAACUGCGAAUACCGGAGAAUGUUAUCACGGGAGACACACGGCGGGUGCUAACGUCCGUCG
rnacentral:rRNA from 1 species